rnacentral:rRNA from 1 species
AUGGACGCAAGUCUGAUGGAGCAACGCCGCGUGAGUGAAGAAGGGUUUCGGCUCGUAAAGCUCUGUUGGUAGUGAAGAAAGAUAGAGGUAGUAACUGGCCUUUACUUGACGGUAAUUACUUAGAAAGUCACGGCUAACUACGUGCCAGCAGCCGCGGUAAUACGUAGGUGGCAAGCGUUGUCCGGAUUUAUUGGGCGUAAAGCGAGUGCAGGCGGUUCAAUAAGUCUGAUGUGAAAGCCUUCGGCUCAACCGGAGAAUUGCAUCAGAAACUGUUGAACUUGAGUGCAGAAGAGGAGAGUGGAACUCCAUGUGUAGCGGUGGAAUGCGUAGAUAUAUGGAAGAACACCAGUGGCGAAGGCGGCUCUCUGGUCUGCAACUGACGCUGAGGCUCGAAAGCAUGGGUAGCGAACAGGAUUAGAUACCCUGGUAGUCCAUGCCGUAAACGAUGAGUGCUAAGUGUUGGGAGGUUUCCGCCUCUCAGUGCUGCAGCUAACGCAUUAAGCACUCCGCCUGGGGAGUACGACCGCAAGGUUGAAACUCAAAGGAAUUGACGGGGGCCCGCACAAGCGGUGGAGCAUGUGGUUUAAUUCGAAGCAACGCGAAGAACCUUACCAGGUCUUGA